AUUGAACGCUGGCGGCAGGCCUAACACAUGCAAGUCGAGCGGAGCGGCGGACGGGUGAGUAAUGCCUAGGAAUCUGCCUGGUAGUGGGGGAUAACGUCAGGAAACGGGCGCUAAUACCGCAUCCUAUCAGAUGAGCCUCGGUCGGUUUCGCUAGUUGGUGGGGUAAAGGCCUACAAAGGCGACGCACAGUAACUGGUAUGAGAGGAUGAUCAGUCACACUGGAACUGAGACACGGGCCAGACUCCUACGGGAGGCAGCAGUGGGGAAUAGUGGACAAUGGGCGAAAGCCUGAUCCAGCCAUGCCGCGUGUGUGAAGAAGGUCUUCGGAUUGUAAAGCACUUUAAGUUGGGAGGCGUUACCAACAGAAUAAGCACCGGCUAACUUCGUGCCAGCAGCCGCGGUAAUUC
rnacentral:rRNA from 1 species